UACAGAAAUGAAAAAUUCAGACAGGAGGAAAAAAAAUAAGAAAAACAAAAACCAGAAACAAAAAAAGGGGGACUCUUUAUAACCAGAAACGAGAACAGUUGGAGUCUGGAAGCCAGCAUUGGUCGACAGCUGCUUUUGUUUUUUAUUCACCCACCGUUGACGAUAUCGUAAAAAGAACAAGGAUGUAAUAAAAAUGCCGA